AACGAACGCUGGCGGCGCGCCUAAUACAUGCAAGUCGAGCGAGAAGACGUAGCAAUACGUUUGUAAAGCGGCGAACGGGUGAGGAAUACAUGGGUAACCUACCCUCGAGUGGGGAAGUAACUAGCCGAAGGUUAGCUAAUACCGCGUACGCUCCUUGGACUUCGGUUCAGGGAGGAAAGCGAUACCGUGGGUAUCGCGCUCUUGGAUGGGCUCAUGUCCUAUCAGCUUGUUGGUGAGGUAACGGCUCACCAAGGCUUCGACGGGUAGCUGGUCUGAGAGGACGAUCAGCCACACUGGCACUGCGACACGGGCCA
rnacentral:rRNA from 1 species